CACGUAGGGCGCAAGCGUUGUCCGGAAUUAUUGGGCGUAAAGAGCUCGUAGGCGGUCUGUUGCGUCCGCUGUGAAAACCCGGGGCUUAACCCCUGGCUUGCAGUGGAUACGGACAGACUAGAGGUAGGUAGGGGAGAAUGGAAUUCCCGGUGUAGUGGUGAAAUGCGCAGAUAUCGGGAGGAACACCGGUGGCGAAGGCGGUUCUCUGGGCCUUACCUGACGCUGAGGAGCGAAAGCGUGGGGAGCGAACAGG
rnacentral:rRNA from 1 species